GUCCACGCCCUAAACGAUGGCAACUGGGUGUUGGGGAGCGAUUCCUCAGUACCGUAGCUAACGCGUGAAGUUGCCCGCCUGGGGAGUACGGCCGCAAGGUUAAACUCAAAGGAAUUGACGGGACCCGCACAAGCGGUGGAUGAUGUGGAUUAAUUCGAUGCAACGCGAACAACCUUACCUACCCUUGACAUGUCCGGAACCCUGCUGAGAGGUGGGGGUGCCCCGAAAGGGAAUCGGAACACAGGUGCUGCAUGGCUGUCGU
rnacentral:rRNA from 1 species